rnacentral:rRNA from 1 species
AGCAGCCGCGGUAAUUCCAGCUCCAAUAGCGUAUAUUGAAGUUGUUGCAGUUAAAAAGCUCGUAGUUGAAUUUCGGGAUUGACGUGACGGUCGUGCCUUACGGGGUAUGAACUGUCGCCGUUGAUUUCUCACCUUCUGGAGAAGCUCGAUGUCCUUAAUUGGGUGUCUUGCGGAACCAGGACCUUUACCUUGAAAAAAUUAGAGUGUUUAAAGCAGGCAUUUUGCUCGAAUACAUUAGCAUGGAAUAAUAGAAUAGGACGGCAUGGUUCUAUUUUGUUGGUUUCUAGGAUCACCGUAAUGAUUAAUAGGGAUAGUUGGGGGCAUUAGUAUUCAAUUGUCAGAGGUGAAAUUCUUGGAUUUAUUGAAGACUAACUACUGCGAAAGCAUUUGCCAAGGAUGUUUUCAUUAAUCAAGAACGAAAGUUAGGGGAUCGAAGACGAUCAGAUACCGUCGUAGUCUUAACCAUAAACUAUGCCGACUAGGAAUCAGACGAUGUAAUUUUAAUGACUCGUUACGGCGU